CCUCAGUACGGCACGCGGGGAGGCGCGUGUGGAGGUGGCCGCGUGGCCUAAUGGAUAAGGCGUCUGACUUCGGAUCAGAAGAUUGCAGCGCUCUGGAGUGGGUCGAUGACAACGAGCGCUGCCUCGUCCGCAGGCAGGACCGGGCCGGGGCUGCCUGUGCCUCACCCGAGUGUGGGCAGGAAGGUUCGGCAAGGCACAGCACCACUAUAAAAAGAAAAAAUUUCCACUGUGAACAACCCGAAAUAACCUCAAAAAUCCGCCGUUUCAGCAGAGCUGGAUGCAAUGCAUAAAUCGGAAUGGGGUAGAGAUGUCUCAGCUGUCCCCCCGGAGUCAAGAAACGGGAGAAACGGGCAAUUUUUAUAGGUGACGUACGGGCUUACGUGGGAAUCCGUGCCCAGCACUGCUCUUUCAGCUUUUUUUUUCUCCUGAAAUAACCCUUCCGUGAAGCUCGUACCCCCCUAUUCCAGCUCGCAACCCCUUUUUCAGGCUGGAGAGGAGUCGGGAGAGAGGGAAGGAAAAGAGAAAAGAAAAGCACCCCAACAUUCCGCUCUUUCCCUGCUCGGAAAGCGAGCCCCGGAGCUCCCAAAGUGAGCGCUGAAGAGGGCGACGGGAGACAGGCGGGAGCCGGCUCCGAGGUGGAGGGGUCGGGGGUGGGAUGAGAGUAGAGGAGGACCCUCCUUUUCGGGAUUAAGGGAGAACCAGCGGAGGAGGGAAGCUGGCGGCACCGCGGGCACCCGAGGUAAGUCUGUCUCUCUCCUGCCCGCAGCGCUGGUGCCUGAGCCAGGGCGCUGCUGCGGGGGAUGCUGUGGGGGUUCAGAGGAGCCCGAUCCCGGGGGCGCCCAUUCCCGGGGCUGCCCCAUCACAGGCACCGCACUCUGCGGGGCCGGGGCUGCUUUGGAGGCUGCAACUCCCGUGGAAUCCGUGCCGGUUAUCCCGGCCUGGGGGCUGCCGGCAGCCCCUGCCCCGCUCCUUGCCCGCUCCCUCGGGGCUGGGUCGGGGUCUCCCCGGGCCGAGCAGCCCACGGAUCCCGCUCCCAGCCCCCGGGGCUCCUCCCGUGCGUGUCUCAAUUCGCUCAGGCUUGACUUGGCAAUAAGCUCUCUCAAUAGGGUGACAAUAGAGCCCCGGUGGGACCCGAACAAAGAAUUUGAAAGUAGUUAAAUUGCAGGACACGUCCAUCGCCUGGGUGCUUGAAUUAAAAAAAAAAAAAAAAAAAAAAAAGAAAAAAAAAAAAGAAAAAAAAAGAAAGAAAAAAAUCAGAGAAAAGAAAAAGGAGAGAGACUUUUCUUUGGGCUGGUGAGAAAAUGCUCAGGGUAAAAGUUGGUUUGGCGUCUUCAUUUCAGCGACAAUGGAGCAGAGCUAAUUCAAUAGGAAACGCGGGGAUUUUUUAAUGAAAAGACCGCCGGGGUUACACCGAAGUUAAGCUCUUGUGAAUUAAUUAUUAGGGCAAAUAAACUGGGAGGGGGGGAGCGCUCGGGAGGGAGUGUUGCAAUUUCUUAAUAUUCUCCUUUUCGUGUUUAACGACAAUGCCAUUAGGUUUUCGACUCUGGGUGAGCAAAAGGAUUUCUUACACUCCCCGGGAAGAGGAGAAGACGCGCUUUUUUUUUCUUUUAAUUUUUUAAAUGGUGUUAAUUGCUUUUAAAAUAAAAUACUACGGAAUUUGGCAACGAGCUCCGAUUUCUGCUGGCGGUGGCAUUUGGGGUUGUAUUUCCUUUCGUGGCAACUCGCAGAUGCAAAAAAGGAAAAUAACGGGGGAAUUUAAAAACACAAAUGUAAAGGCGAGGCGGCGUGUUCGGCUGUUGCAGAUCUCUCGGGCUCGAUCGGUUUAU